CAGCCGCCACGGUAAUACAGAGGGUGCGAGCGUUAAUCGGAUUUACUGGGCGUAAAGCGUGCGUAGGCGGCUUUUUAAGUCGGAUGUGAAAUCCCUGAGCUUAACUUAGGAAUUGCAUUCGAUACUGGGAAGCUAGAGUAUGGGAGAGGAUGGUAGAAUUCCAGGUGUAGCGGUGAAAUGCGUAGAGAUCUGGAGGAAUACCGAUGGCGAAGGCAGCCAUCUGGCCUAAUACUGACGCUGAGGUACAAAAGCAUGGGGAGCAAACAGGAUUAGAUACCCGAGUAGUCCCUGUCUCUUAUAC
rnacentral:rRNA from 1 species